UCCCGCUCCUCCCUAACCUUCCAUCAAUUCCUUCCCCAAAUUGUGAUAACAUUUCUCUUCCCCUCUGUCUGAUUUCCGUCACAGCAACAAAUCACCAAUGCUGUCCAAGUACCUUCUAAUUAGGUUUAAACCGUCACUCGGAUAGGAACAUAUGAAAUAACUACAAGGCGGACAAUGGAAAUGACAUUCUCUCUUUUACCAAGGAAGCCAGUGUUGGUCUUCACUGGAACUUCAGUAAUGGGCGUAAACCCCGAAAACGGAAAGUUUUGCAGUCAUGUGGACUAUUGGGACUCUAUAAAGAACAAUGAAUACUUUUCGACAGAAGCUCUCAUGGACUUAUUAAAACAGCUGAGGAUAUACAAGACUCCUGAUCUGGAAACACCAAAAUAUCAGAUACUUAAAAGAACUGCAACAUAUGAGGUACGAAAAUACAGCCCAUUUGUAAUCGUUGAAACUCAAAGUGACAAACUUGCUGGAAAUACAGGAUUUAACGAUGUAGCGGGGUAUAUAUUUGGAAAGAACUCUAGGGUAGAAAAAAUACCAAUGACAACUCUAGUUUUCACUCAAGCAUUUGAUCUCGAGAUGUCGAAAAUGUCGAUCCAAAUCGUUCUUCCAUCCGAAAAAGACAUAAACAGUUUACCGGACCCUAACAAAGAAAAUGUUAGUAUACGGAGCGUUGAAGGAAGAUUUGCAGCCGUAUUAAAAUUCAGCGGCAAACCAACAGAGGAUAUUGUUCGUGAAAAAGAAAAAUUACUGAGGUCUAGUGUUCUUUCUGACGGUCUCAAACCAAAAGACGGGUGUUUAUUGGCUCGCUACAAUGAUCCUGGUAGAACAAAAAGUUUUAUGAUGCGAAACGAGGUUCUUAUUUGGCUCGAGGAGUUUUCGUUGGACUAGUUCUUAUCAAGUUUGAUAUGUAGCCACUCAUCAAAGUAAGAGGUAUCCACCAAUAUAUAUGUAAUAUUUAUUUGUAUUCCAGAUUUGAAAGGUUAUUAAAGUCAUGUGGAUAUUCCCAAGCAAUCUUGUCUACAGUUCUUAGCAAUAUGAAUAUAUAGUCCCCAUAUUGGUUCUACAGCCCAAACAACUUUUUUUGUCUAGUAACAAGAUAUUAUCUUCAAGAAGUCACAAUAAUGAUGAUAGAUUUGAUAUGUGAAGCAUUGGAGUAAUAGAGAUAAGAAGAUUUAUGGAUUGCUUGGAGCUAAGUUUUUUUUUACAGUAUGAUUCCUAUGGGAAAGAACGUUUUGAUUUUUUUGUAAACAUUUGAAACAUGUUUGAAACUUAUUAUGCAUUUGUUUGCUAACAUUUGUAAUAUGUUUUGGAUCGAACUUAUAAUUGAAGUUAUGAUAUUAUAAUUUCUA